CUUGCUUGAUUCUUUAAUUUUGGCUGGUACGGUUCCGUUCUGUUCCGCCUUGGCGCCCUUGGCCGCGGGGGCAAUGUUUUUGUUUUCGUUCUACGUUCAGGUGUUGGGUGGCGACGUAUUAACCGUCGAUAACCAGCUGAAGCAGCUGAAGUUCUCGAGUGGAACGAGGUUGACUGUGCGCAGUGGCAGCCGUUGACAACAAAAACAAUGUAUGCACUCAGCUUCGCCGGAUGAGUCCCGGCGUCGAUCGCGAACCGCCAGAGCCGCCAAAUACCUCUCGUACAUCUCCAAGAACACCAAGAACAGGAGGUAUUCAUAAAGGUCUGAACCACGCGAGGAUCGUCUCGAAGCAUGGUAGCCUCAACAGACGCUUGCCGCCACACGCGAGGAGAAAGCAGGAGGCCCGAAGUUUGAAUGUGAAGAGGAGGUGCGAAGAGCUGGCCCUCACUUUUUCAAGGCAGCCGCAGAACACUACGAGCCCCGAAUCACUGCCGCGGCUGACUCACGCGGAUGCUGUGCUGCACCCUGCACUGCACAUGGUUCGAAGCACACUUCAGGGGACCAGUGCAUGCCCCUGAUGCAUCGUCGCGGUAUGUUUUGUACUGCUUUUCCUAGCGGUGCACUGAGCAGUCCAAUCUUGAAGGGAGCACGCGAGUGCGUAGCCAGUGCUCCAUGCAGCAAGGACCGCAAGCACCCGCGGAAGCUUGGAGCACACGCAGUGACGCCAGCAGCCGUGCACGCUGGCGUCGUCUGCUACUGUACCGUCCUUUCGUUCGGUGCGCAGAAAAAAAAAGGAGUGACCGCUCUGUUAAAAGUCUGAUGGUGAAGGCAUCCUUUACAGAAGCACUGUAUGGCUCUCUGCACGCUAGAAUGGGGGCUGUCGUUGAUGCUCGCAGAGGCGUCGCCCACAACUAAGCAGACGACCAAAGUCCUGAGCAGGUCCCGGGGAUCAUGGCAUCGAUGAGCUCGCUUUCGCCUUGUCCAAGGUAGCAGCGGAACACUACGGGCAGGCCCGGAGUCACCGCACCGGCUGGCUCACGGGCGUCGUCCUGUACUCUGCACGGCACUGC
rnacentral:misc_RNA from 1 species